rnacentral:rRNA from 1 species
AUUGAACGCUGGCGGCAGGCCUAACACAUGCAAGUCGAACGGUAACAGGAAGAAGCUUGCUUCUUUGCUGACGAGUGGCGGACGGGUGAGUAAUGUCUGGGAAACUGCCUGAUGGAGGGGGAUAACUACUGGAAACGGUAGCUAAUACCGCAUAACUUCGCAAGACCAAAAAGGGGGACCUUCGGGCCUCUUGCCAUCGGAUGUGCCCAGAUGGAAUUAGCUAGUAGGUGGGGUAACGGCUCACCUAGGCGACGAUCCCUAGCUGGUCUGAGAGGAUGACCGGCCACACUGGAACUGAGACACGGUCCAGACUCCUACGGGAGGCAGCAGUGGGGAAUAUUGAGCAAUGGGCGAAAGCCUGAUGCAGCCAUGCCGCGUGUAUGAAGAAGGCCUUCGGGUUGUAAAGUACUUUCAGCAGGGAGGAACGGAGUAAAGUUAAAACCUUUGCUCAUUGACGUUACCCGCAGAAGAAGCACCGGCUAACUCCGUG